CACACCGCCCGUCACACCAUGGGAGUUGGAUUGACCCGAAGGCAGUGAGUUAACCCGCAAGGGAGGCAGCUGACCACGGUCGGUUCAGCGACUGGGGUG
rnacentral:rRNA from 1 species